UACGUAGGGUGCAAGCGUUGUCCGGAAUUAUUGGGCGUAAAGAGCUUGUAGGCGGUUUGUCGCGUCUGCUGUGAAAAUCCGGGGCUCAACUCCGGAUCUGCGGUGGGUACGGGCAGACUAGAGUGAUGUAGGGGAGACUGGAAUUCCUGGUGUAGCGGUGAAAUGCGCAGAUAUCAGGAGGAACACCGAUGGCGAAGGCAGGUCUCUGGGCAUUAACUGACGCUGAGGAGCGAAAGCAUGGGGAGCGAACAGG
rnacentral:rRNA from 1 species